UCUUAUGGAUGAGCAAAGGAAGUAUUUUCUUGAGAUGGAAUCUACUUCUGGUGAAGAUGCUGUGAA
rnacentral:pre_miRNA from 1 species